rnacentral:rRNA from 1 species
CACGUAGGCGGAUCGGUAAGUCAGAUGUGAAAUCCCGGAGCUCAACUCCGGAACUGCAUUUGAUACUGCCAGUCUUGAGUGAGGUAGAGGGGGGUGGAAUUCCCGGUGUAGAGGUGAAAUUCGUAGAUAUCGGGAGGAACGCCAGAGGCGAAGGCGACCCCCUGGGCCUUUACUGACGCUGAGGUGCGAAAGCGUGGGGAGCAAACA